GUAGGGGGGCGAACGUUGUCCGGAUUUAUUGGGCGUAAAGGGGCUCGUAGGGCGGGUUCAACAAGUCGGCCGUGAAAACCCGGGCUCAACCCCGGGACGCCGGUCGAAACUGUUGUGACUAGGGUCCGGUAGAGGUCAUUGGAAUUCUCGGUGUAGCGGUGAAAUGCGCAGAUAUCGAGAGGAACACCAGUAGCGAAGGCGGAUGACUGGGCCGGUACCGACGCUAAGGAGCGAAAGCGUGGGGAGCAAACAGGAUUAGAUACCCUGGUAGUCCACGCCGUAAACGUUGAACACUAGGUGUGGGGGACUUAUCCACGUCCUCCGUGCCGUAGCUAACGCAUUAAGUGUUCCGCCUGGGGAGUACGGCCGCAAGGCUA
rnacentral:rRNA from 1 species